rnacentral:snRNA from 1 species
AACUUUGCACAGUGGCAAUAUCAUAGCCAAUGAGGUUUAUCCAAGGCAUGAUUAUUGCUAAUCAUUUUAUU